GCGCUCUUAGCUCAGCCGGAUAGAGCAUCGGUUUUCUAAACCGAGGGUCGCAGGUUCGAGUCCUGCAGAGCGCGCCA
rnacentral:tRNA from 1 species